rnacentral:rRNA from 1 species
UGAGUAACCUGCCCUUAACUCUGGGAUAAGCCUGGGAAACUGGGUCUAAUACCGGAUAUGACUCCUCAUCGCAUGGUGGGGGGUGGAAAGCUUUAUUGUGGUUUUGGAUGGACUCGCGGCCUAUCAGCUAGUUGGUGUGGGUAAUGGCCCACCAAGGCGACGACGGGUAGCCGGCCUGAGAGGGCGACCGGCCACACUGGGACUGAGACACGGCCCAGACUCCUACGGGAGGCAG